GUGAGGAGAUACUCCAUGAGGCAAAUAUACUGUACAGGAGCUUGAAUCCUUCAGACUCCCCUGCACUGAGAGAAACCACUGAGUGAAAAUUGGUACACACUUUCCUUGAAACUACUCUGAAGGCUGCAGUUUGCAGUGAAGCAUCUUUGUGGAGGACUGAAGAGCUAAUGAAGACAGUCUGAUCCAGAACAGCCACUUGAUGGACCACGUGGCGGGACUGCGUUCUCAACUGCUGUUUCCAAAGCUGCGGCUGACAAAUUGCCAAACUCAAUUUGAGGAUGAAGCUCAUGUGAUAUAAUCCAGAGGUCCAGAACAGCUACUCAAUGGAAACAGGGUGUCGAAUAGGGGAGCUCCAUCUCUCUGCCGUUAACCACCCAUCGUUCACACUCACUGUUCCGGGCACACACCGAAGAUCAAAAGCCCUGCUGUGGCGUAAACAUUAGAGCCAGAAUGGUGAAAAAAUGCAAAUAACAUUCAUUUUUUUAUCAUUCUCCUCUCCACUUUAAUGGAUUCUGUCCCCAAAAUGCCAUGUCUUGUAUUCUUUCUCCACCAGACAACAUAGUCUGACUCAGAAAUGUUUAUUUCAGAUAUUUGAACAUGGCCAGAUCCCAAAGGAGGGAAAAUACCACGUAUUUAAACUAUGACUCACACCUCCAGUGUGAUCUCUCCUAUCAGCUUCUGUAGCUGUUAAAGAGACACUAUGACUCAGACGCAGUGCAAACAUACAGACUGUUCUAUCUUUAGAUUUGCACUCAUGUAAGAUUAAUAUAAAAGAUGAGAGUGCAGGGACCACAGAUCAUCAGAUCAACAAUAAGCAAGAAGACAGCGAAUGGUUUGUGAUGUAUGCAUCAAAGGGAACUUGUUUUUUUGUUGAUUAUUUACUGUGAAAACAAACUCCAAUAAUUGUAAAUGACUGUGGCUCAGUAUGUCCCUUGCAAGAUGCCCUCACAUGCCCUCUGCAGCAGAAAAUA